UCCAAUAAACGGUUCAUCAACUUGAGCUAAGCCAGGAUCUACCACUGCCACGCCUGCCAUGUCUGGUAAUGUUUUAUAGUCCCGGUGUUGCAAAUGAAAAAAAAAAUUACUUGAAGGAAAAUAAUUGGACUUGAAUCUAAAUAUCGUAUUAAAAACAAUUACUCCAAAAGCAAAAUUAUGACUACGAGGAUUAACUCUUUUAGGCUAUUCCUAACAUUGCAUAGAGAUCAAAUUCAAGGGAUUGACAACAUUCCAGCCAAAGUUAUCAAUAGGCUUCUCACUCACUCGUUCGAAUGAAACUCGUUAGUUAAAUAAAUUUACCCCCAACAACACUAAGGCACCAAAUUAUAGUUUUAAGUAAGUGUGGAAUUUCUCAAAUGCCUAUUCAUUUGUAUUACCUAUGAAUUACUCAAGGCACACAAGACUUUCCUCAAUUUUAAUUCUCUCAAGGCAAUAAAAGCUUGCAGAAAAUAUGGAGUUUGUAAAAUGUGAAUUUAGAACAUUCUUUGGCAGGGGAAAAAACAAGUGAUAUUGAGAAAAAUUACCGACCAAUUACUGGUGCAAGAACAUAUAUCAGAUGCAUACGAACAUUAGACGGCAUGUUAUAUGCCCAUUCUCAGUUUACAACUUUCCUAAAAAUAAUUAAUUCAUAUUGAGAUAUAUAAUGCAAAGAAAUAUGUAAAGAAAAAUAAAGGGGAGUAAAAAGCAGAUAUAUCACUUUAAAGAAAGAGAAAGUAAAUAAAAAAAAUGUGUGCAAACAAAGAUAAUUGAAAUGUAAUAGUUAAUACCUAGAGUGAUGCCGGCGAUGACGAGCAGAGCGUACAAGAUUUGGAGAAAGAGUGUCGGCGGCGGCGUAGAUUUUCGGUACAAAUGGCGGCGGCGGCUCGGCGGCACGGAUAGUCCAAAAGUUAAGAAGAUAUGCGAA
rnacentral:lncRNA from 1 species